rnacentral:rRNA from 1 species
UACGUAGGUGGCAAGCGUUGUCCGGAAUUAUUGGGCGUAAAGCGCGCGCAGGCGGUCCUUUAAGUCUGAUGUGAAAGGCCACGGCUCAACCGUGGAGGGUCAUUGGAAACUGGGGGACUUGAGUGCAGAAGAGGAAAGCGGAAUUCCACGUGUAGCGGUGAAAUGCGUAGAGAUGUGGAGGAACACCAGUGGCGAAGGCGGCUUUCUGGUCUGUAACUGACGCUGAGGCGCGAAAGCGUGGGGAGCAAACAGG